rnacentral:rRNA from 1 species
UACGAAGGGGGCUAGCGUUGCUCGGAAUCACUGGGCGUAAAGCGCACGUAGGCGGCUUUCUAAGUCAGGGGUGAAAUCCUGGAGCUCAACUCCAGAACUGCCUUUGAUACUGGAGAGCUUGAGUCCGGAAGAGGUGAGUGGAACUCCGAGUGUAGAGGUGAAAUUCGUAGAUAUUCGGAAGAACACCAGUGGCGAAGGCGGCUCACUGGUCCGGUACUGGACGCUGAGGUGCGAAAGCGUGGGGAGCAAACAGG